UGUACCGUAUGGGGACUGUACUGUACAGUAUGGGGACUGUACUGUACAGUAUGGGGACUGUACUGUACUGUAUGGGGACUGUACUGUAUGGGGACUGUACUGUAUGGGGACUGUACUGUACCGUAUGGGGACUGUACUGUAUGGGGACUGGACUGUACUGUAUGGGGACUGGACUGUACUGUAUGGGGACUGGACUGUACUGUAUGGGGACUGCUGGUCUAUGUGAGUUACAUGAACACACCACUCUGGGACGAAACAGUGAAUAAUACCAUCACCUUAAUACAUUUACAUUGUGGUCAUUUAGCAGACACUUAUCCAGAGAGACUUAUAGUCAGUGCAUUUUACUGAGGUAGGUGAGUCAACCACACUAGACAGUACUAGUCAUUGUGUGCAUAUAGUUGUCACACUGGUAAUACAUAUUGGAAUCAGGCUCUCGCAUGGUCAGCUGAUGGUUAAGCUUCUGAGUAUUUAUUCAUUAAGACACAUAAACAGCAGACCAGGGCUGGCUCCAGGCCACUAGAGGGACCCUGACUCUUACAUGUUGUCGUCCCCCAGCCUCUCCUUGUGUGUGUGUGUGUCUCCUUCCUUCCAUUCUGGCAGAACAUUGUGGUGAUCGUACUCUUUGCCAUCCUGUGGUUGGAGUGCGUCGUCAUGGGCCAUGGGUCUACAGAGUGUACCCUGGCACAGUGACGAGGACAGGGAAUGGUCUCAACAUGUCUGUGAUCUGUGGUUCCCUGAACGUGGUUCUGUGGGUGGGCAACACCUGGGUCCCCGAUAAAGAGACCCCAUGGCACGACAUGGACAGACUGCCCUGCACCAGAGCCUAGGGAUAGAGCACAGGCAGGUGCCAGACCUUAUAUGAACCCCCCUUCGCCAUCCACUGAUGCCCUCAUCAGCAACAGUGCCCGCAGAGGAGAGGUGGUAUGGUGCCCUUGUAGGGACAAACUUUUUUUUUUUUACUUCCUCUGAGUUGCUCUUGUCACAUUAACUUUUUGUUUUGUGUCUGUAAACAGUUAUUAUUCUAUUACUGUAUCUGUUUCCUUCAACCGUUAGCUUAUAAAUCACAAUGUUGCUUUCUGUCCGUCCACUGACAUGUAAUAUGCUUUGGUCACUUGGAAUCUUUGGUCACUUAGAAUCUUUGAUCACUUGGAAUCUUUGGUCACUUGGAAUCUUUGGUCACUUGGAAUCUUUGGUCACUUGGAAUCUUUGGUCACUUGGAAUCUUUGGUCACUUGGAAUCUUUGGUCACUUGAAAUCUUCUUUCAUGUACAAUACUGAAUGUAUUAGAUAUUAUUAUUGUGUUUGUAUCUCUCUCAGGACAAUCCCAGACAAUGAAUUGCCUUGAUGAAGUCUG